CCGGAAUUGAAGAAAUACAAACGACGUCAGGCGAGGAGGUGCAAAAACAACUUCGGGGAAAAGAAGGCUCGCACCAUGGCGAAUUAUAAAGUCACCAAAAAGGACUUGAUUAGGAAAGUUUUAGCAAUGCGUUGAAGAUCACCGUGAGACGACGAGACUCUCUCGUGGUUCUGAAAAUGGCUGAUCCGACCCUGGUGAAGAAGACAACAUAUCAAGAAUACAUGCUCCAGGCGGCGGACAACAUAAUCAUAAGACUGGUGUCUUUUUUUAGCCAAUCUGCCAACAAAGCCGGCCACUGUCCUCAUCACCACAGUAGCCACGACCACAGUAGCGACGACCAUUGCAGCCACAACCACUGUGAGGCCAGCUACGACGACCAGCGCCCCAUUAAUUCAGAGCAUUGAAUUAAAAAUCAACCGACAGCGGUUACCGACACCCACCAUCCAAAAAACUGCACAAAUUCCAUGGAAAAAUGCGCCCAAUAAUGAUGCUGCUUUCCCAUUUCAUCAAUCAUCCUCGCUAUCUCCAGCAGCCCGACUCCCCCAACCACCACCACCAUCUCCCAUUCCAGCCUCCCCGUUACAAGUCCCAAGACCUCCACCAUCGUCCCCAUCAAUAGCAGCAACCCCAAAUCCACCACUCGUACGGCUACUGCCUGGAACAUCACCUAUUCCCGAUAUGCAUUGUAAGGAGACAAAUAUGGACAGGCUCAUAAGGAGCAUUUGCCGAUUUAAUUAUUUGCAGGGAUCUGACGGCAUUCACAUGUCGUAUGGCAAAGGUGAGAUGAAAUGCGAUGAGCGAA